GACGAACGCUGGCGGCGUGCUUAACACAUGCAAGUCGAACGAUGAAGCCGGAGCUUGCUCCGGUGGAUUAGUGGCGAACGGGUGAGUAACACGUGAGCAACCUGCCCUUGACUCUGGGAUAACUGCGGGAAACUGUAGCUAAUACCGGAUACGACACCUUGGGGCAUCCCAGGGUGUGAAAGAAUUUCGGUCAAGGAUGAGCUCGCGGCCUAUCAGCUAGUUGGUGAGGUAAUGGCUCACCAAGGCGACGACGGGUAGCCGGCCUGAGAGGGUGACCGGCCACACUGGAACUGAGACACGGUCCAGACUCCUACGGGAGGCAGCAGUGGGGAAUAUUGCACAAUGGGCGAAAGCCUGAUGCAGCAACGCCGCGUGAGGGAUGAAGGCCUUCGGGUUGUAAACCUCUUUUAGCAGGGAAGAAGCGAAAGUGACGGUACCUGCAGAAAAAGCACCGGCUAACUACGUGCCAGCAGCCGCCGUAA
rnacentral:rRNA from 1 species